rnacentral:rRNA from 1 species
UUUAAGGUCUAACCUGCCCAAUGAGGAUUUAAAUGGCCGCAGUAUUUUGACUGUGCAAAGGUAGCAUAAUUAUUAGUUUUUUAAUUGAAAGCUUGUAUGAAGGGUUGGACGAGAUAAAAUCUGUCUUUAUUUAAAUUAAAGUAUAAUUUAACUUUUAAGUCAAAAGGCUUAAAUGUUUAUAAAAGACGAGAAGACCCUAUAGAUCUUUAUUUAAUUAAGAUUUUAAUAAUUUAGGAUUAUUUUAAUUUGGAGUUUUAAUUAAAUUUUAUUGGGGUAAUAUAAAGAUUAAAUAAAUUCUUUUUAUUUAUAACAUUAAUUUAUGAAUAUAUGAUCCAUUAAUAUUGAUUAUAAGAUUAAGUUACCUUAGGGAUAACAGCGUAAUUUUUUUGGAGAGCUCAUAUCGAUAAGAAAGUUUGCGACCUCGAUGUUGGAUUAAAAAUUAGCUUGGGUGCAGAAGCUCAAGAUUUUGGUCUGUUCGACCAUUAAAUUUUUACAUGAUCUGAGUUCAGACCGGCGUAAGCCAGGUCGGUUUCUAUCUUUAUUUAGAUAAAAUAUUUUAGUACGAAAGGACCAAGUAUUUAAUAUAAUUAUAUUUAUUUUUUGAAGAAUAUU